ACGCUCGACACCUAGGGAGCAGCAGUAGGGAAUUUUCGGCAAUGGGGGGAACCCUGACCGAGCAACGCCGCGUGAAGGAAGAAGGAAUUCGUUCUGUAAACUUCUGUUAUAAAGGAAGAACGGCGGAUAUAGGGAAUGAUAUCCGAGUGACGGUACUUUAUGAGAAAGCCACGGCUAACUACGUGCAGCAGCCGCGGUAAUCUGAGCGGGCUGGCAAGGC
rnacentral:rRNA from 1 species